GUCUUAAUGGCUCAGUUGGCAGAGCGCUGGAGUAUUGAUCCAGAGGCCGUGAGUUCAAGUUCUCACCCAAGACA